UUUUAAAAGUGUAGAAUGACCACAUUUAUGCAAUCAAUACAACUUUCAACAACGGAUCUCUUGGCUCUCGCAUCGAUGAAGAACGCAGCGAAAUGCGAUACGUAAUGUGAAUUGCAGAAUUCAGUGAAUCAUCGAAUCUUUGAACGCACCUUGCGCCCCUUGGUAUUCCGAGGGGCACACCCGUUUGAGUGUCGUGAAAACCUCAACCUCUUUGGUUUCUUCUGGGGACCAAAGCAGGCUUGGACUUUGGAGGCCUUUUGCUGGCACCUCUCUCUUUUGAAGGCCAGCUCCUCUUAAAUGAAUUAGCAGGGUCCUCUUUGCCGAUCCUCGACGUGUGAUAAGAUGUUUCCAUGUCUUGGUUUCUGGCUCUGUCACCUUUGGGACCCGCUUCUAACCGUCUUGACCUUGCGUCGAGACAAUGUUCGAGCAUGUCUCCCCAUUCUCGGGAAGCUCCCUCGACCCCACGAACCCCUUGACCUCAAAUCGGGUGAGACUACCCGCUGAACUUAAGCAUAUCAAUAAGCGGAGGAA
rnacentral:rRNA from 1 species